rnacentral:rRNA from 1 species
UACGAGAAGGAUAAGCGUCAUUCCUAUUAAAUGGGUGUAAAGGGUAUGUAGGCUGUUUAAUUAAUUUAUAUUUUAAAGGAUUAAAAAACCUUAAUAUUUAUAAAUAAAUAAAAACUAGAGUGAAAUAGAGGAAAAAGGAAUUUCAUAUGUAAGGAUAAAAUCUUUUGAUAUAUGAAGGAACUAUUAAGGCGAAGGCUUUUUUCUAAUUAAUCACUGACGCUAAGAUACGAAAGUGUGGGUAGCAAAAAGG